rnacentral:snRNA from 1 species
GAUGUGAGAGCGAUCUGGCUGCCACAUCUGUCACCCCACUGAUUGCCAGGGUCGAUUCGGCUGAUCUGGCUGACUAGGCAGGUGCCUGUGGUCCCAGCUACUC